rnacentral:rRNA from 1 species
AUGGCGACGGCCCCGCCGGCGAUCCCGUUGCCGGACUACCAGGUGUCCGGGGCGGCCGCGGCCCACCAGCGGGGCUCCGUCGGCCCGUUCGUCGGGGUGCUCGCGGCGGUGCUGCUGCUCACCGCCAUGUCAUGCUUCUUCGGCCGGGUGUGCGCGGCGCACGCGCAGGGGCCUGACGAGUGGUACGACUGCGCGAGGCUCGCCGGCCGCCGGAGAUGCUGGUGGUGGCGGGCGCCUCGGCGGCCGGUCAGGCCGGCCGAGGAGGAGGCCAAGCCGCCGCGGGCGAUGCCGUUGCCUGAGCCGUGA